rnacentral:rRNA from 1 species
AUGAAUGGACUUUUUUGGAAUUGCAGAGGGGCUGGGAAGAAAGGAAUGGCUACCUGCUUUUCUAAUCUUGUUAAGGAUCAUUCCCUUGAUUUUUUAUGUUUACAUGAAACUAUGAAGAAGAAAUUCUUUUCUAGUUUUCUGAGAAAGAUAGACCCUUAUAACAUCUUUGAGUGGAACAGGGUCCCAUCCAUAGGUAAGGCUGGGGGUAUGCUUUGUGGGGUUAAGAAAGAAAAAUUAGAAAUUGUUUCCUGGUCUAUGGGCAAGUACAUUAUGCAUAUUACUAUCUUUGAUGUGGAGAAACAAUGUGUUUGGGCUCUUUUAAAUAUUUAUGGUGGGGCUCAUGAUGAGAGGAAAGAAUAA